AGAGAGAGAGAGAGAGAUUGAAUUGAGGCAACACUUUCCAAAAUGCAAUUUAAUCACUCAAUAUCCAUUAUCCCUAACUCUUGGUCUUCUUGGACUUAACUAGAACAUGCAAGUAUUGCAGAUAUUUUUUUUAAUCCUAAAAUGACUACUUGAAAAGAAAUGUAUGCAUUGAAUCAGAAAGAAUAAAUGGAAUUGAAGGAACUAAGGGAAAAAAAAGGCACAUAAAAUCUUUUUGGUAAACAUGGAGAAAGUUUGUCCACUGACAAAAAAGACACCACAAUCAGAAAAUUAUAACCUGGUGCAAGUAUUUGUCUGCAUG
rnacentral:misc_RNA from 1 species